rnacentral:rRNA from 1 species
AGCGAACGCUGGCGGCAGGCCUAACACAUGCAAGUCGAACGAACCUUUCGGGGUUAGUGGCGGACGGGUGAGUAACACGUGGGAACGUGCCUUUAGGUUCGGAAUAACUCAGGGAAACUUGUGCUAAUACCGAAUGUGCCCUUCGGGGGAAAGAUUUAUCGCCUUUAGAGCGGCCCGCGUCUGAUUAGCUAGUUGGUUGAGGUAAUGGCUCACCAAGGCGACGAUCAGUAGCUGGUCUGAGAGGAUGAUCAGCCACAUUGGGACUGAGACCCGGCCCAAACUCCUACGGGAGGCAGCAGUGGGGAAUCUUGCGCAAUGGGCGAAAGCCUGACGCAGCCAUGCCGCGUGAAUGAUGAAGGUCUUAGGAUUGUAAAAUUCUUUCACCGGGGACGAUAAUGACGGUACCCGGAGAAGAAGCCCCGGCUAACUUCGUG